UUCCUUAAAAUUCAGUCUGAUAAUUCUCAAGAGAAGACUCUAACUGACCUGGCUUGCAAUGGGUCAGUGAGGAAGGGAAGGAAAGAAGCUCACAGAGCACUGAUCAGAAGGGGAAACCUUACAGGACAGGAUUCUACUAUGGACAAGGUCUGUAAGGCCCAACCCCAAUGUUACUUCCUGCAUGAAUGUCCUCUGCUUCUGGAAGGCAUCAUGUGAUCAUUAAAAGAGCCGCAUGCAUCCAGCACAAAGUGACAGCUAUGAAUUGUUCACAUGCGUACCUUUCUGAGCCUCAGUUUCAUCAUCUGUGAGGAUGGCCCUUUAUCAUUUGUGAUAAACAGAACCAUUCCAAACAUCUGGUCUGGACAUCACUGGCAUCCCCUGAACCUGUCAACUGCAAAGGAUCCCACCUAGAAACAUGUACCUAGAGCUGGAAGAAGCCAUGGAGAUUAAGAGAUCCAGAGCCUUCACUUUGCAGAUAAGGACAAAGCUCUGAUUUUUUCUUUGUCAUUUUGACUCAUCACUUCAUUGUACCAGGGAUACUAAGCCUGUCCAGGAUAUUUAAGAUCUGAGAAAGGGAGAAUUGAGGAGCCCCACCUAACAGCCAGCACCAACCAACCGUCGGACGAGUGAGUGAGGCUCUGUGUGCCCUUCCAAUCCAGCCUACCCCACAGUUGGCAGCAGCAACGUGCGAGAGCCCCGGGAGACUUGCAGGAGAAGCAGAAGGACACACCACACCAGCCC